rnacentral:rRNA from 1 species
ACCAGNGGCGAAGGCGGCCUCCUGGACCACUCCUGACACUCAGACGCGAAAGCUAGGGUAGCAAACGGGAUUAGAGACCCCGGUAGUCCUAGCCCUAAACGAUGUAGACUUGGCGUCGGUGGUUUAAUCGCCAUCGGUGUCGUAGCUAACGCGNUAAGUCUACCGCCUGGGGACUACGGCCGCAAGGUUAAAACUCAAAGGAAUUGACGGGUCCCCGCACAAGCAGCGGAGCGUGUGGUUUAAUUCGAUGCUACACGAAGAACCUUACCUGGGUUUGACAUAGAGGUAGUAGGGAAGCGAAAGCGGACCGACCCUUCGGGGAGCCUCUACAGGUGUUGCAUGGCUGUCGUCAGCUCGUGUCGUGAGAUGUUCGGUUAAGUCCGCUAACGAGCGCAACCCUCGCUGUGUGUUACAAGUGUCACACGGUACUGCA